UACGAGAGGUGCAAGCGUUAUUCGGAAUUAUUGGGUGUAAAGGGGUGCGUAGGUGGCGUAUUAAGUCUGUUGUUCAAUCUCCCGGCCUAACUGGGGAAAAAGCAGCGGAUACUGAUAUGCUAGAGGGGUGGAAGAGAGAAGUGGAAUUCUUGGAGUAGCGGUAAAAUGCGUAGAUCUCAAAGAGGAACACCGAUAGCGAAGGGCAGCUUCUUGGUCCCAUUCCUGACACUGAUGCACGAAAGCGUGGGGAAGCAAACAGGG
rnacentral:rRNA from 1 species